GAUUUUCUUCCACAAAAGCAGAUCGUCCACAUCCCAGCUACGAAGGAGGACGCUUUGCACCACAGCCGGGGUGGUCUCGUCAACGCGAAAAACCAGCGGCUUCAAGAGGGCCCCUGAAGGUUCAUCUUCCGCCAUCAAAUGAGGUUUUUUCUAAAAAUGGAUCAUUGAGAAAGGUUAGGAGAGUGGUCAAGACCAUAACCUAGUAGAUUUUUCUGAGGAAACCGUGCACCCGGUGCUGCCAGCUGUCCUGUGUGUCCACCCUCCCACUGUGCAGUCUCACCGGACACCCACGUCUCUUCACCAAUGCACCCAUCUCUGCUCCCUUUAUUAGAAUAAAUCCAUCUUGUCCUGGGAACCCCUUUACUCUUUCUUCCGAUUUUGCCCUGCUAUUGCAUUCUGUUAGUAACAUGUUAAAAAUGUUUGCAAAUACUCUAUCAUACUUUUGAGGGCUGAGUCCCUGCAGACCCAUAUCUGCGGCCCGUCCUGUUGGCCUAAAAAGUGAGCAUGAUUAAGAACAAAACACGAAUGUCAACUUUCAUUUAGUUAAAUGAAUUCAAGUAUGUUACAAGAGGUGUGAAACAAUGAUGUCAUAAAAUUAGUAAGAGUUCUUUUGGCCUGAGAAAUUUAAGAAGGCCAGGCACCUACCAUGGUUCCCCAUGCACCCACCUGACCCAUCAGGCCCACUGGAGGGGUUUCGGUGCAUAGAGGCUUGGGUCACUCAAAUAAGUGGUUAUUAGUGACAAAGAGAGUCGGAAAGAACAACUUAAGUUUUUAAAACCUAUUCAGUAAAAAUAAUAAUGUAGAGAUUUUGCCUCACAUUUUAAAAGAUAAAAGGCAGAUUUGAAAUAUUCUUUUGAACUUCGAAGAAGGAAAGCAGAAUAAUUCUUAAGACGAUCAUAACUGAUGAUGAAGUGUGUUGUUUCAUUAAGAUCUAGAGAAAAGGUAAAAAACGUCAAAGACUCUUGAUAAAAAUGUACAUAUGUCAAAGUCCUGAGACAACGUGCUCAUCAAAAUUUUCAAGCUAAGGCAAUUUUGAUUUGUAUUGUUCGUGCAAAAUUGAUCACAUAAUGAUAUAAAUAACUUACUUGGUGGAAAUUCUGUAGUGUUUGAAAAUUUCUGAUUGAUAUAAAAGAAGUAAAUUUUGACAGAUGCUGUACUUUCCGUGAAGGUUUUACAAGAAAGGAAGGAGGGAGGGAGGGAAGGAAGGAAGGAGGAAAUGAGGGAAGGAAAGAGUAGAAAAGGAGGAAGGAGGGAGGGCAGGAAGGAGGGAGGGAAGCAAGCAGAG
rnacentral:lncRNA from 1 species